rnacentral:rRNA from 1 species
UACAGAGGCCCCAAGCGUUACUGAGAAUCACUGGGCUUAAAGGGUGCGUAGGUGGCGCGUUAAGUUCGUUGUGAAAUCCCUGGGCUCAACCCAGGAAUUGCUUCGAAUACUGGCGUGCUUGAGGCUAGUAGGGGUCACUGGAACUGACGGUGGAGCGGUGAAAUGCGUAGAUAUCGUCAGGAACGCCGAUGGUGAAGACAGGUGACUGGGCUAGUUCUGACACUGAGGCACGAAAGCGUGGGGAGCGAACGGG